rnacentral:rRNA from 1 species
ACGACGCUGGCGGCGUGCCUAACACAUGCAAGUCGAACGGGGAUUUGUUUCGGCAGAAUCCUAGUGGCGAACGGGUGAGUAACGCGUAGGCAACCUGCCCCCCGGAUUGGGACAACACCCCGAAAGGGGUGCUAAUACCGGAUACGAAGAUAACACCGCAUGGUGAUAUUUUUGAAAGAUGGCCUCUAUUUAUAAGCUAUCGCCGGGGGAUGGGCCUGCGUCCGAUUAGCUGGUUGGUGGGGUAACGGCCUACCAAGGCGACGAUCGGUAGCCGGUCUGAGAGGAUGAACGGCCACAUUGGGACUGAGACACGGCCCAGACUCCUACGGGAGGCAGCAGUGGGGAAUCUUCCGCAAUGGGCGAAAGCCUGACGGAGCAACGCCGCGUGGGUGAAGGAAGUUCUUCGGAACGUAAAGCCCUGUUGUACAUGACGAACGUGCUUUCUAUCAACAACGGGAAGCAAUGACGGUAGUGUACGAGGAAGCCACGGCUAACUACGUGCCAGCCGCAGC